rnacentral:rRNA from 1 species
CCUACGGGAGGCAGCAGUGAGGAAUUUUCCACAAUGGGCGAAAGCCUGAUGGAGCAAUACCGCGUGGAGGAAGAAGGUUCAUGGAUCGUAAACUCCUUUUCUCAGAGAAGAAGAUCUGACGGUAUCUGAGGAAUAAGCUCCGGCUAACUCCGUGCCAGCAGCCGCGGUAAUACGGGGGGAGCAAGCGUUAUCCGGAAUGAUUGGGCGUAAAGCGUCUGUAGGUGGUUUUUUAAGUCUGCUGUCAAAUACAUUGGCUCAACCAAUGGCAGGCAGUGGAGUACUAAAGAACUAGAGUUCGGUAGAGGUAGAGGGAAUCCCUGGCGUAACAGUGAAAUGUGUAGAUUUUAGGGAGAACACCAGCGGCGAAGGCGCUCUACUGGGCCGAUACUGACACUGAGAGACGAAAGCUAGAGUAGCGAAUAGGAUUAGAUACCCUAGUAGUUCUAGCUGUAAACGAUGGAAACUAAGAGGGGGUAACCCCCUUCUGUAG